CCUACGGGAGGCUGCAGUGGGGAAUAUUGGACAAUGGGGGCAACCCUGAUCCAGCCAUGCCGCGUGUGUGAAGAAGGCCCUCGGGUUGUAAAGCACUUUCAGUGAGGAAGAACGCCUGGUGGUUAAUACCCAUCAGGAAAGACAUCACUCACAGAAGAAGCACCGGCUAACUCCGUGCCAGCAGCCGCGGUAAUAUGGAGGGUGCGAGCGUUAAUCGGAAUUACUGGGCGUAAAGCGCGCGUAGGUGGCUUGAUAAGCCGGUUGUGAAAGCCCCGGGCUCAACCUGGGAACGGCAUCCGGAACUGUCAAGCUAGAGUGCAGGAGAGGAAGGUAGAAUUCCCGGUGUAGCGGUGAAAUGCGUAGAGAUCGGGAGGAAUACCAGUGGCGAAGGCGGCCUUCUGGACUGACACUGACACUGAGGUGCGAAAGCGUGGGUAGCAAACAGGAUUAGAUACCCUUGUAGUC
rnacentral:rRNA from 1 species